rnacentral:lncRNA from 1 species
AAUAGAGAAAUCAGAACCUGAAACACUAUUUUAUCUGCUUUGCAAAUGAGAACAUGUUUGUCUGAGAUGUCAGAAUCGCUGUCAUCAAGUCACUAUUGUUGCAAAUAGAACUAUGGAUUUACAUUCCUCAGGUCACAUUUGUCGCAAAUAGACCCAUUGCACAAAAUAAAGAAGAGAAUGAAACAAUGACUACUAGAGUCUUGACAUCCCAAUCAAGGAGCGCAAUGAAAGGAGCAAUUUAAUCUACUCAUAUAGUGAGUUAAAUGGUUUAGCAUUGCACAUUGUGAAAUAUCAUCUACUUGCAAGUAGUUGUAGUAUUUCAUCUACCUAAAGUAUAUUUGUUUUAUGGUUUGUUAUUUUAUUGGUCAUCCAUGAUUUGUUUUAUUUUUUGAGAAAAUGUCUGUUCAGUUUUCUUGGAUUUCGGAUUUCUUAAUAAGGUAUGUUG